rnacentral:miRNA from 1 species
GGCGUCCUAGGCGGGGCGCCGCGGGACCUCCCUCGUGUCUGUGGCGGUGGGAUCCCGUGGCCGUGUUUUCCUGG